ACCCUUGCUGACGAGCUAAAGCACAAUGAGACCAUGCAGCACUCCAUUUGGGGGAUGCCGGGAUGUGGCGCUCCGAACUACCACCUGGGCACAAUGAAACGGACCAGAAGCCUCGACACGGCCGGGAUUUUACCCCAGGAGCAGAUCCGUGAUAAAGGCUUCAGUGGGACCCCUUUCCGCUGCUUGUGACAUGAAGACCACAACGUCCCCAAACUGAGAGAGCCACAGAGCAGCCGG